rnacentral:rRNA from 1 species
GUGCAGAGCCGCGGUAAUACCGGCAGCUCAAGUGAUGUCCCAUAUUAUUGGGCCUAAAGCGUCCGUAGCUGGCCGACCAGGUCUCCCGGGAAAUCCACCCGCCCAACGGGUGGGCGUCCGGUAGAAACUGGCCGGCUUGGAACCGGAAGGCUCAGAGAGUACGUCCGGGGUAGGAGUGAAAUCCCGUAAUCCCGGACGGACUACCGAUGGCGAAAGCACUCUGAGAAGACGGCUUCGACAGUGAGGGACGAAAGCUCGGGUCUCAAACCGGAUUAGAAACCCUUGUAGUCC